UACGAAGGGGGCUAGCGUUGUUCGGAUUUACUGGGCGUAAAGCGCACGUAGGCGGAUUGGUAAGUCAGGGGUGAAAUCCUGGAGCUCAACUCCAGAACUGCCUUUGAUACUGGCAAUCUCGAGUCCGGAAGAGGUAAGUGGAACUCCUAGUGUAGAGGUGGAAUUCGUAGAUAUUAGGAAGAACACCAGUGGCGAAGGCGGCUUACUGGUCCGGAACUGACGCUGAGGUGCGAAAGCGUGGGGAGCAAACAGG
rnacentral:rRNA from 1 species